UGAGCAAUCGAUUCAGUCUUCAAUCGAGCCAACAACCAGCCAAUCACAUCACGCUCCGAAGAUCACGUGACAGGUAGCGCCUCAGUACAGCACAGCCCCCUCCGCUGCUGCUCUCGAGAAGGUGAGUGUAAAACAGCUGAAAACAGGGCAUUUACCUCACCACUGUGGCCAUGUAAUAUCACUUAAACGGUGUAGAAAUCCUCACUUUAACCAGGGUUUGCUCUGUGGUUUGUAAACAUAUUAAAUUAAGAUAGAUAUCCAGAUAUACCUUGUUAAACUAAAUAAAUAAAGCUCCUCUGUUCAUUUCAGAAAGCGCUUCAAACACCAACACUAGAUCAAUUAUUUAUAAAUACAGCCAGACUGUGUGGAAGAUAAUUACUACUGUAGAAUCUGAGAUAGUAACUUAGUUUGCUAAAUUAUAGCUACCUAUCUUGCUAGUUAGCUGUGGGACUGUGCGAUUAUAGACAAGAUACUACCUAGUUAGCGGUUUGUUUAGCAAUACCUUAUUUACACUUUGCUGCAAAGUAUGUUGCUUAGUGUACUGGCCACUGUCUAAAUAAAUAUAUUAAGCUAUAUUACACUUACUGUACCCCUCUCAGGCCGGUCCUCUCAUUAAAUAAAGGAGAUUUAUUAGAAUUGCUUUUUGUCUCUUUACUAACUAAUUUAACAGAGAUAAAUUAAGAUAUGACCAGUAUUAAUUUUAUGAUAUUGAUUUUAAUGUUUAUAUUUAAUAUAUAUUUUAUAAAUUUGUUAACAAUUCAACUCAGGCUUUAACUGAGGAUAUCAGCAGUAAAUAAUAGUCCUAAAAUGCUUGUGUAAUUAAGAUACAGCAUGAUUAGUCCUAUUUACUAGUGCAUCUCAAUAGUGAAAAAUAUAUAUUUGUGUUUAAUAUCGUUCAGUAAACGGUCACAUUUAACUUUUUUUAUUUAAACUAGUUUAAACUACAUAUUCUAGUAAACUGGGUUAAGGUUGGGACAGUAAUUCUGGUUUAAUGAACUUUUAGCCAGGUAAAAAUGAUUUGGAAUAUGUCACUUUACAUGUAGUGUAAUGUAUAAUUUCUGUUAAAUUAUGAUAUUCUCAUGAUCUUCAGAUUUUCUGAGAUGCAUUAGUAAUUGGUUUGUGCCAAAACCAAUGCAAUAAUAAUUGCAAAAAUGUUUUAUAUAAAUGAAGUAAAUACUGAAUCCAAACAACACCAAGUUUAACACAGUCAUACUUCUUGUCUUCAUUUUCUUAAACAGGAUAUUUUCUCCCAGAAAAAGAAAGGAUAAUAAAAGGUUUCCUUUCUCCAAACUUUUAAAGAACAAAUAAAGAAAUCCAAUUUCAUGCA